rfam:Operophtera brumata OBRT01_Sc01315, whole genome shotgun sequence.
UACUAGGCCCUUUUUAGGGCCACAUACAUCAAGCUUAACCGGACA